UACGGAGGGUGCAAACGUUGCUCGGAAUCAUUGGGCGUAAAGCGCACGUAGGCGGCCUGUUAAGUCGGAUGUGAAAGCCCCGGGCUCAACCCGGGAAGUGCAUACGAAACUGGCAGGCUUGAAUAUGGAAGAGGGUCGCGGAAUUCCCGGUGUAGAGGUGAAAUGCGCAGAUAUCAGGAGGAACACCAAUGGCGAAGGCAGCUCGCUGGGACGUGACUGACGCUGAGACGCGAAAGCGUGGGGAGCAAACAGG
rnacentral:rRNA from 1 species